rnacentral:tRNA from 1 species
CGCUCUUUGGUAAAUUCGGAGCGUCCCAAGGCUCGCUGCCUGGGAUAGCGGUCUCUCAACGAGGUCGCUUUUGUUCAACUCAAGGAGGAGCAA